AGGUUGAGGACGCCAUUUUGGUAGGCCGCCAUCUUGGUUUUGCGAGUUGUUUUGGUUUUUCUUUUGUUGACUAUUUUGAUGUUAUUUCUUCACAACGGCUGUUUUCAGGGCCAGAUUGGUCAGCUUGGCAGCCCGCUAACCUCGAUGAUGGAGUACUGGUAGAUGAGUCUCGGACGUAGUAUUAACGAUGACAGGAAGCAUUAUCAGGACCAAAGUCGUGAGACAGUGAAAUGGUGGUCCAUCAUCUAACACCUAGGAUACAGCCCUCGGACGUCACUCGGCAUACCACUCCCCCAUCCAUAAUGGGUUUUGGAGUGUAUGUUGACGCGGGAAUUAGCCCUACGCGGAUUAUAGCCUAACGUAGUCUGUACAGCAUUGGAUUGGUUUCUGUCAUCGAAAGUAGUAAGUCGUUGAUCCAUGUAACAAUAAACCCUCAUCGAAGAUAGCGGGUAAAGGAGAGCUGACCCAGCACGUCCGUUCAGUUGUAAUGACUGAGACGUGACUGUGAUGUGCAAACAACAACAAAUGGAAGUUUUUAACGACCUUGACUGGCUAUACAGCCCUUGCACGGUCGGUUUAUGAUGAGGACAUGCAGUGCUGUUGAGGUUUCCUUGAUAUAGUUUGUAUUCAUUUCUGGUGGACAUCUUUGAUUUUAUCAAAUAAGGAAAUGAUUACUAGCAACUGAAUCAAAUGAAGAAUCUUCAGAGUUAAAGGCAUAGAAAGGAAACAUGAAGAUAGCCAAUGCAUGACAUAAGGAGAAGCAGUUAUGAAUUUUGAAAUUGGUAUAAAGGAGAUAAAGCACAGUUUAAAGUAUGUUGAGAAAAGAUCAUAACAAGCUUUUGGUAUGUUGAGAAAAGUUCAGAACAAGCUAUUUUGUUUGAAGAGGAAUCACAGUGGUUAAGACUUAUCUUUGAAUAAAGUGAAUUGUAUUAGAAGUAAAGCCUUAACAGUCACGAGACAAUAAUUAAUAUUUAAUUGUUAUUUCAAAGACUAACAUGACUAGCAUUUGUAUGACUUGAAUGUCAUAUUUUUCAUAUGAAGACAUACAAGGCAAAAAAUUGGAUGUGACAAAAAAUUGUUUUCAUUGAAAGACUUGAAGACCUUGUACUGUCUUAUGUAGAACUCAGGAGAAUUUGUUUAAGACAAUAAAUUCUGUGUAUGAAAUGAAGAAUGUGUGUUCAUUAAAUGAAUUAUAAAAAUAUGUUUUCUAUCUUGAAUUUAUAAAAACAGCAUAAAAGAU